rnacentral:rRNA from 1 species
GAUUCUUAUUAGGGGAAGGUGUGUUGUAAAGGAUGAUCCGCCUAUUAAUUUACUUUUAUUAUGUUGGUGUAUAUCUGGUUUAAUAUUAUUGUUUAAUAACUAAAUUUGUGUAUAUUUAUUUAAGCCAAGUCUAUGUGCUGCUUGUAAAAGAUUUCAUGCGUUACAUUUAUAUUUAUAAAUUAUGAGAAUUUAAUUUUUAAUUAGGACUUAAAAGUAA